GAAAGAAUGCAAUUUAUCACUAGCCUGGCAUUGUGGCACAGGGGUAUACCAGUAGGAGUGGAGCCGGCAAAAAUAAGCUUCAAUGAAAUCUCUACUUAGAUCUUAACUGCAGUUAUCUCUACAGAAAUACAGACAUGAAGUAACUCCUUCAGCAAAGGAAUCUCCAGGUUUACUGCUGGCUGUAUGUUCUUUACUCCCUCUAUUUCUUGUCCUCCUCUCCCUGUAGAUGAUGAUGGAGGCCUCUGCAGUGCUUCUGUCAAAUACAAUAUCUGACUGGUAGAGUAGCUGAGAUGUGCUCCGCUACAAUUCCUUCAAAAGGUGAGUAUGAAGGAGGCACACAGUAUAUAAAAGGAUGUGGGGAAGAAACAGGCAAGGGGCUGGGAAUAUGGCCUAGU